rnacentral:rRNA from 1 species
UACGUUCCCGGGCUUGUACACACCGCCCGUCACACCACGAAAGUCGGCAAUACCCGAAGCCGGUGGCCUAACCCGUAAGGGAGGGAGCCGUCUAAGGUAGGGUCGAUGAUUGGGGUG